AAAACGACUCUUGGCAACGGAUAUCUCGGCUCUCGCAUCGAUGAAGAACGUAGCGAAAUGCGAUACUUGGUGUGAAUUGCAGAAUCCCGUGAACCAUCGAGUCUUUGAACGCAAGUUGCGCCCAAAGCCUUUUGGUUGAGGGCACGUCUGCCUGGG
rnacentral:rRNA from 2 species